UUGGCGCGUCCCGCUUCUCCGCGCCUCGUUGGAAGGCCACACCCGGGCCUGGAGACCUGGACAGAAGCGGACACUGCGACUCAAAACCCCAGGCUCAAUGGGAGAUGCCUACCGUGCAAAGUCCCGGAGCGCUGGCCUGGAGGAAGAGGGCGUCCCGCGCCUGUGCAAAUACCUGGAGAACGCGCGGGAGACGAUGCUGCUGCAGGAUAUAGAACAGUGUGUCAACAUCCAAGAGGGAGAAAUUAAUCCAAAAUAAAUUAACCUGGAUUUCUAAAGUUCAGGGCAUUACCUCCAAGACUGCAUUUGGGAACAUUUUGUUUUGUAUCCAUACAUAAGUGGAUUUCUGCUUUUAAGAAUACAAUUUAAUCUACUUAGUGGAAAUCAACAGCAAAGUGGAGAGAAAGUAUUAAAUCAUCAAUAAAUGUAAGUUUGCAGAAAUUCUAUUACUGAUUGCUAUGUGCAUUAUUUAGAGCAGAAUCCACAAAAUAUUUCCAUCAGAUUAACCUGAAUCUGGUAAGUAUAUGAUAAAAAUAAAUAAAUGAGCAGAGAAGUAACAGUGUAUCAUGGACCUGUGCCCAAGUAGAAAAAUGUAUUUCUAUGGUCUGGUAAUAUUUGGUAAAAAUUAAUGAAAAUAUUUCUUCUAUGAGUCUGAAUAAGUUCAAGAAAACAUACAUUAAAGUACCCCC
rnacentral:lncRNA from 1 species